CGUAUAAUAGAAAGGUCUCUCCACAAAACCCGGGGAAGAUAGAUUAAAGGUGCGUAGGAGGAUCUAGAGACAAAGAGAACAUUCAGGGUUACUGAAUGUACAGAAAAGGAUGAUGGUUCUUGAACAAACCAUGAAACAUUUACCAGUCCACACUGCAUGUGAUCCAAUCUUGGCCAUGGACCCUGGGCACAGUCUGCAUGGUUUCUCCUGGAGGGGGGCGGGUGUCCCCUUUGAUAAGAGAUACAAGAAGAGAUCCCACUACCAGUCUUUCUGCCUUUGGACUACAUUGAAUGAGGAAGUGAUGCCUUGGGAUGAAAGCUAACAUGUCUCUCUCUAGCUGUGCAUUUCUGAAGAGCCAGCAUAUCCAUCAUGUCUACCUGAAGAAUUGGUUUUAAAUCCUGAUGACACAUGGCUCAGAACAAGGACCAGUUUCAUUCAGGCAUCCAGAGCUGCUUCUCUGACCCUCUGGUUCUUGGCCCAGCUGAUAAGGAUCCAGUCCAUGAAUAAGUAAAUGGCUUCCUUCCAGUGGAGAGCUGACAGCUGGGAUUGAAACAAGAUCCAGAAUUCACCCUGCUGUUUCUCCAUGAGUCUGACCUGCAUCAACUGCCUCCCUUAUUCUGGGAUUCCAGUUGUGGAGCUCAAGGACAAGUCCAUUCUGGGCUGGCUGUAUCCAACUUCUUUAGUCCAACUAUAUCCCCACUGGAAGCCAGGCUCUUUCCAACAGCUGUCACCCAUGCCUCUUUCUAUGUUUGUUAUCUGUCUCUAGGUUCUGGUAACUACUUCCUUCCCUUGCCCCUUCUGGCCUAGGGUGCUACAAAUCCCUCCUCCAAAUCCAACUGUCACUAGCCUCAAAGUACUUGUAGCUUCCUCACCUUACUUUCACCUUAAUAAAUAGUCCCCCUACUAUCUCUCUUCAAAGCACCCAAUUUGAGUGUGCCAUCUGUUUCUUGCCAGGAUCCUGGUUGGUACAUCAACCAAGCUGCACAGAUGGAGGAGCACUGUGCUGAACUUUAGGAAUGAAGCCACAGGGCCCUCACUGCCCCCAUAGUCACGUUGGUCAUCUUCUGCCUCCCUGAAAGACUAAAUUCACUCAGUUCAGAUACAUACACAUCCAGACAUGUCAGGGAAAACUCCAUUUUGUAAGGAUCUCUGCUUAAAAUGCCAAAGGUUUGAAAGUUGGCAAACACUUGAGAAAAGCACAGUUCUCUGUCUUACUCUUACUCUAAACUUGGAGAUAUAUGCAUUUUUAAAAUUGUUCAUGUUAGAAUGCUAACGUGUACAAGAUCGUGCCUGGUGAGACACCACAAACAAUAUUUUAUGAGGCCAAAAUAAGAAAGAAGGAAAUGAAAUAGCUCAGGAAUCUCAGGAAGAGCUCAUCAAACACUUUGCCUUUAUCUCAGACCAUUUUAUCCACAGCCCUGCUAAUCAGGAUUGUAUAUACCUCCAUGAGGGAGUCUUAAACGGAGGGAAAGAGAUGCCACAACUAAAGAAAAGAAUGCAAUAGAAGUUUGUCUUGAUGCCUGUUCUGUGAUGCACAACUUUCGUAAGCCAAAAUUUUAACCUUAUGAACAAUCAGUUCUGUGCUGCCCUUAGCAGAGAACCAUAAAUUAAAGAUAAGCAAUGGUUCAGACUUUCCAGGGCCUUGACUCAGGAGUAACUCUGAAAUCCCAACCAAAUAUGUAUUUGGUUAAGCAAUUUGGCACAUUUUUCUAUUUUGAGGCAUUAAACUAUAAUUACAAGUCACUUUUAUUUCAUUCCAAAUAAAUCUCCCUAAAGUAGAUAGAACUAGAGGUUUCCUUUUUUAAAAAAAAGGAAACAGGAAAACAACAAACAAAACCAAAAAGAACAAAAGCAAAACAAAACUUAGUCAAGCUAACAAAUUGCAUGUAUGAUGUGUUUUAUAAUUUGAUCAAUAUGAAAAAUAGAGUGUGCUAGUGCCUCAGGAGGACUCAGAGGACUCAAAUACUCAAUAGGUUAUCUGGAGGAAUUUCUCAUUGGAGAAAAAAAUUAAAGUUCUUUUGAACAACCCACAUAAUCAAGAUAGUAAUAAUUUAACCUCAAGUUUUUCCUUGAUUAAAAAAUCCCUUUGCUAUUCUGCUCCAGUGUUUGUAAUAGAUGGUUCAACAAGACUGGUGUUUUGUUAGUUGGAAAAGUAAGCUGAUAUGAGGGGUGGGGAGAGGAAGGGCAGAAAUUUAUUAACAAUCAGCAAGUAAAGAAAAACAGCCUGCAAAUUGUAAUGAAAGGAAGAAAGGACAGGAAAGGAAAGGUAGGGCUGGUGGAGAGUGACUGUUCUGCCUGCUUACUGCACAGGCCAAGAACAAACUCACGAUAAAUACUCCAGGUCCUCAAGAAAAAGGUUUCUGUGCUGAAUUAUGGUAGUCUACCUGAAAUUGGGAUGAUGAAUUAGAAAACCUCUCUCAUCGCUUCAAGUCUUGUGAUUUAUUC
rnacentral:lncRNA from 1 species